rnacentral:rRNA from 1 species
AUUGAACGCUGGCGGCAUGCCUUACACAUGCAAGUCGAACGGUAACAGGUCUUCGGAUGCUGACGAGUGGCGAACGGGUGAGUAAUACAUCGGAACGUGCCUAGUAGUGGGGGAUAACUACUCGAAAGAGUGGCUAAUACCGCAUGAGAUCUACGGAUGAAAGCAGGGGAUCGCAAGACCUUGUGCUACUAGAGCGGCCGAUGGCAGAUUAGGUAGUUGGUGGGAUAAAAGCUUACCAAGCCGACGAUCUGUAGCUGGUCUGAGAGGACGAUCAGCCACACUGGGACUGAGACACGGCCCAGACUCCUGCGGGAGGCGGCAGUGGGGAAUUUUGGACAAUGGGCGCAAGCCUGAUCCAGCAAUGCCGCGUGCAGGAUGAAGGCCUUCGGGUUGUAAACUGCUUUUGUACGGAACGAAAAGCCCUGGGUUAAUACCCUGGGGUCAUGACGGUACCGUAAGAAUAAGCACCGGCUAACUACGUGCCAGCAGCCGCAGUAAAAC